CCUACGGGCGGGCAGCAGUGGGGAAUAUUGGACAAUGGGGGCAACCCUGAUCCAGCCAUGCCGCGUGUGUGAAGAAGGCCCUCGGGUUGUAAAGCACUUUCAGUGAGGAAGAACGCCUGGUGGUUAAUACCCAUCAGGAAAGACAUCACUCACAGAAGAAGCACCGGCUAACUCCGUGCCAGCAGCCGCGGUAAUACGGAGGGUGCGAGCGUUAAUCGGAAUUACUGGGCGUAAAGCGCGCGUAGGUGGCUUGAUAAGCCGGUUGUGAAAGCCCCGGGCUCAACCUGGGAACGGCAUCCGGAACUGUCAAGCUAGAGUGCAGGAGAGGAAGGUAGAAUUCCCGGUGUAGCGGUGAAAUGCGUAGAGAUCGGGAGGAAUACCAGUGGCGAAGACGGCCUUCUGGACUGACACUGACACUGAGGUGCGAAAGCGUGGGUAGCAAACAGGAUUAGAUACCCGAGUAGUC
rnacentral:rRNA from 1 species